rnacentral:lncRNA from 1 species
UGGCUCACACCUGUAAUCCCAGCACCUUGGCAAGCCAAGAUGGGAGGAUCGCUUGAGGCCAGGAGUUCGAGACCAGCCUGGGCAACAGUGAGGCCCUGUCUCUACAACAAACAAGCAAACAAACAAACAAGAACAACAACAACAAAAAACUCAGCUACCACUUCAUGAGUAUCUAUGCUGCGCCAGGGACUACUUCAGGUUCUCCACCUGGUACAAGAAGAGUGGCCCAGAGAAAGGUCAGUUUAAGGCAACUGGAUUUCCCAAGUCCCAAAGCAGGAAAUCUGGUCUGACAAGCACGGGAUUCUCGUCUGAAAUUAGCCCGGCCCUGGAAAACCUGUGGCUGGGGGUUGCUGUCAUCAGAAAGAACCUGUACUUCCGGGUUUGUUUUGGUUGGGAAGGAAGGAGCUGGAGCAGCCAACCUGGCUUCUCAGAGCUUCCAUAUUUAACCCAUCAGGGCCCAAGGCUCCCAGGUGUAGAAGCGACUUUAGAGAUACCUAUGAGGAAACAGAAGCUCCAAGAAGGUAAAGACCUUCUCCCAGGCCACAGAGCCAGUAAAUGGCUGAGCCAGGGUUAGGAGGAAGGAAACUAACAUUUAUAUAGCACGUGCCCUAUAUCCAGAGCCUCACCCGGCAAAGGAGGUGUUAGUAACCCCAUUCUGCUCAUGAGAUUCAGAGAAGGUUAGUGAGUGGCCGAUAUCACCGAGCUACUAAGAGGCAGAGACACUAUUAAAAUAUAGGCCUACAGCUGGGCGUGGUGGCUCACACCUGUAAUUCCAGCACUUUGGGAGGCUGAGGCGGGUGGAUCACGAGGUCAGGCAUUCGAGACCAGCCUGGCCAACAUGGUGAAAAUCUGUCACUACUAAAUAUACAAAAAUCAGCCUGGCGUGGUGGCGUGUGCCUGUAAUCCCAGCUACUCAGGAGGCUGAGGCAGGAGAAUAGCUUGAACCCUGGGGGCGGAGGUUGCAGUGAGCCGAGAUUGCGCCACUGCAUUCUAGCCUGGGUGACAAAGCGAGACUCCAUCUCAAAAAACAAACAAACAAAACAAAACAAAACCUGACUCUUCAACAAUCUACAGUUCUUCCUGAGCCCUUAUCUGCCAUGCUCAUCUAUGUAUCCCCAGUGCCUGAUACUGAGGAGUGUUCAAAACUCAUUUAAUAUCGGGAGAUUCGCCGGAUGCGGUGGCUCACGCCUGUGAUCCCAGCACUUUGGGAGGCCGAGGCGGGUGGAUCAUGAGGUCAGGAGUUCAAGACCAGCCUGGCCAAGAUGGUGAAACCCCGUCUCUACUAAAAAUACAAAAAUUACAGUGCGCCUGUAAUCCCAGCUACUCGGGAGGCUGAGGCAGGAGAAUCGCUUGAACCUAGGGGGCGGAGGUUGCAGUGAGCCGAGAUCACACCACUGCACUCCAGCCUGGGUGACAGAGUGAGACUCAAUCUCAAAAAAAAAAAGUAUCGGGAGAUUGAGGUGGGAGGAUGGCUUGAGCCCAGGAGGUUGAGGCUGCAGUGAGCCUUGAUUACACCACUGCACUCUAGCCUGGGCUACAAAG